ACAUUGAAAUUUUCCUAGGAUAUCAAAGAGAAUCACUGUGAAAUAAAUGGCGAGUAGUUUGACUAUGGACCCCGAGUACAGCCUCCAGGAUGUCAUACGGUGUCAUUCCUGUGAAACCUCUAUUCCCACUUUGCACUGUGCCCUCUGCAAUAAGAGUAUGUGUAAUGUAUGUGUAGGAGAACAUCUCUCAGACGAAUCCAAAAAUCACAAGGUGGUGUCUUAUAAAAAAAGGGAACCUACUGCUAUAUACCCGGAGUGUACAACACAUUCGACUGAAAAUUGCGAACUUUUUUGUGAGCAAUGUCAUAUUCCUAUCUGUGUGAAGUGUGCUUCCUCAUACGAACAUAAAGGUCAUGUGUUUGUAGCAAUAACACAGGAAAUCAAAAGCAAAAGACAAAGUUUGGAAAAAGAUUUAAAAGAGUUAGAGAAAUUUGUUUAUCCCAAAUACCUAAAGCUUGGGAAAUACAUUCCAGACCAGAAAGCUAAGCAUUUUAUGCAUUUUCAACAGUUGCUUAAAUCUAUGAACAAACAUGGGGAAAACUUGCACAAAGAAAUAGAUAUCAAUUUGGAGAAACUGAAAUCUAAUCUUAAUGAAAUGACUUUUAAAUUUAAUAAUGUACUAGAGAUACAUGAAAAGAAAAUUAUGCAAAUUAUAUCCGAAAUAGAACAAAGCAUAGCUGAUCUGAGGAAUGUACUGAAAUCCAAUGAUGCCGGGGUUCUUCCUACAUACAAAUCUGAAAUUGCCAGGUUUGGUAGAUUGCUUCCGAAAAUUACAAUUUCCUUGCCGGUUUUUACGCCAUACACGAUCAAUAAAGAGAACAUUUUUCGACAGUUCGGCCGUCUCUCAGAGUUAGAUAUUAGAACGGAGGAAUAUUGCUAUCCAAUGGAUGAGCCCAGUGCGGAGAACAACUUUACUUACAAACCAAUCAUUGAUGAUUUUCGGGUUAUCACAGAUAUAGACACCGACUAUGGAAACACUGAUGGGCUGCUUAGUGUGUCUUGUCUAAGUGAUGAAUUAAUUUGGACUUGUGGAAGUGGAAUCGACAUGAGAUUGUACAAUCAUCAGGGAGAAAUAAUUAAAUCAAUCCAUACGAAAUCAGGGAGACAACCAUGGGACAUAACCGUGACUAGAAAUGGGGAUCUAGUUUAUACCGAUCCGUUGGACAGAACAGUCAAUAUAGUAAAAAAUAGACAUAUUCAGGAAGUGAUCAGACUAUAUGAUUGGACCCCUCUUAAUGUUUGCAGUACCUCGUCUGACGAUCUGCUGGUUACAAUGUUCAGUAAUAAAGGUAAUCAAACGAAACUUGUUCGUUACACUGGGUCAAUCAUAAAACAAAUCAUUCAAUUUGACGAGAGUGGCAAUUCCUUAUAUUCAUCAGAUGGAAUGUUUAAUACUACUCAUGUCAGUGAAAACAGAAACCUAGAUAUAUGUGUUGCUGACAGUUAUGGUGGUGCAAUAAUAGUGGUUAAUCAGGCUGGUAAACUAAAAUUUGUAUACAGUGGCCCUCCCUUUGCUGUCAGGGGAUCAUUUAAUCCAGUUGGCCUUACUACGGACAGUCAUGGUCAAAUUCUGACGGCAGAUUAUUACAACGAUUGUAUCCACAUCCUAGAUCAGAACGGGCAGCUUAUCUGCUACAUUGAUUACUGUGAUUUACACGGACCAAUGGGUUUAUGUGUGGAUAAUAAUGACAGCUUAUUCGUUGCUGAAAGUGACACAGGUAAAGUUAGAAAAAUACAAUAUUGCAUAACAGAGAUCUAAUUGUGCUUGUAUACAUGUAGUAUUAUGCUUGAUGGACAAUAAUUGAGUUGCAAUAAACUAUGCAAAAAAUAAAUAUCGUUUGCACUGUAAAUGAUUAUAUGGAGUAGAGAUUUUAAAUGUUGAAAAUGUGUAAAAUAAAUAUCCUGAUGAAGAUGUUUCAU
rnacentral:sRNA from 1 species